AUCACGCCACCGCCCCCCACUUCAAGCUGGUUCAAGUGUAUAUAAAGACGUCCGAGAUCUCCAUUCCGGCAUAACACAUUUUUUUUUUGUGCCAAUCUAUUCUUUGUCUACACUUUAACCCUCAAAAACCAACCAACCCAACCAAAAUGGGCGCUGAAAAGGUAUCCAUGAACAUCGUUGUCGUCGGACAAGUCCAAUCUGCCAAGGCCAUCAAAUCGGUCGCCAAAGCCACCCCAGCCACCAGCCAACUGAUGAACUGUUAAUUAUUAUGUAGUCCAUCCAUCGAAAACUCAAAAAUGCCAUAGUCCAAACAGUACAAUAAUAUGUAAUUCAUAAUAUCAGUAUUGCCACCGCAAAAUAAAUCAGCGAUUUCCGAUGUACAUAUCAUAAAAA